UUUUAUAAAUUUUUGCUCAAAUGAUAAUGAUAUUGUGCAUUGGGUAACAUGAAAUCUAAUAUGAAUAACACUAACUGGUAAUUUAUAAAUGAAAUUUGUGAAUAUGUUUUGUAUGCUAUAUUAUUUAUUGUAUAAUGUAUGUUAUAUCUUGUAUUAUCUGAUUGGCUAUGAGGGCAUUAUCAAUUAAGCUGACUCCUCCCAUUAUCACCUGUUCAUUAUUAUCCUAUUUGGGUUUAGGGUAUAUCUAGCAAGUGUUCAGUAAAUAUUUUAUGAAGCCUGAUGAAACAGCCAUUGGCUGAGAAACGCGUUGCCUGUAUUUUUAUAAUUUUUAUUAAAGUCAUUUUUAGCAUUUGAACACUUGCUGCUCUUUCUUUGGGAUUUUUCUACCUUUUUAUUUGAGUAUAAUCACAAUUUGGACCACUGUGGGAUCCUCUGAACUACUGAAUCUACUUGGAUGCCUUGCCACAAGUCUGUUGGGUGACUGAAUUGAUCCCUUCAUGCUCCUAUAGCAUCAAAAGAGGUGCUUUAUAUAUUGUGAGUACCACUCUUAUCAUUGUUUGAAUCUGUCAACUUGUACCAACAAUACUAGGCCAUACAGGCACCUGUGUCUCCUCUCUGUCCACACAGACAUCAGUUCCUGUACAGGAAGUUGGUCUUCUGGGUGACCGAAUAGAUCCCAGACUGCCUACUUAGCACUAAUUGAGGUGCUCUUCUAAAUCGCAAGGUACAGAUGUGAAAAAGCCGAUAAUGUCACUGAUCUGUGAAAGCGCACGGCUUCUGUCACAUGAUGCAGCAAUAUGCGCACUACAAGAUGGGAGCUUAACCAACUGAAUUCUGUAAAGGGUUAAAUGACUGAACAGAGCUGCGGGCACAAGAGGAAAACACUAAUAUGGGGUGCGGAGCCAACCACCGAGAAGAGCAGACGUGUAUGAGCUGAGCUCCUGCUUAAUGAACUAAAAAGAUGGAAACACUUUAAUAUUGCAAGCCCUGACUCUCUUUAUUAAGGUCCACUAUCUCUCAUACAUUUAUAGGGGAGAGUGAGAACAGAGGAAAACCUAUUUGGAGGAUGUUUGCAAAGCUAUUGCAUCUCAAUGUCGCCACGCGGUAAGCACUGAAGUUCUAUCUCCCGAGCCAUCCUUCUUCAGCAAUUAAUGACUACGGAGGAUCUAACUGACCACGCUUUGUCCUUUCUUGGAUCUCUGGGGGAAAAAUCUACGGGUUGUGGGUUCCAUACACUUGUGGUGUAAUAUUACAAAAUGUCUCCUUUAGAGAUCCCUUCCAGAUUCAUGGAGACACUGAGAGGUCUACUCGACAGACACCAUGCUGACCUGGAAAAUUUGCUAUAUAAAGCUCCCAAGU